UACGAGGGGUGCAAGCGUUGCUCGGAAUUAUUGGGCGUAAAGGGUAGGUAGGUUGUUCCAUUUGUCUUGGGUGAAAGCCCUGAGCUUAACUUAGGAAGUGCCCAAGAAACGGUGGAACUAGAGUCUCGGAGAGGAUCGUGGAAUUCCCGGUGUAGCGGUGAAAUGUGUAGAGAUCGGGAGGAACACCGGUGGCGAAGGCGGGUCUCUGGGCAAUUCCUGACGCUGAGGCGCGAAAGCGUGGGGAGCAAACGGG
rnacentral:rRNA from 1 species